rnacentral:rRNA from 1 species
UACAGAGGUCUCAAGCGUUGUUCGGAUUCAUUGGGCGUAAAGGGUGUGUAGGUGGCGCGCUAAGUCGGGUGUGAAAUUUCGGAGCUUAACUCCGAAACUGCAUUCGAUACUGGCGUGCUUGAGGACUGGAGAGGAGACUGGAAUUUACGGUGUAGCAGUGAAGUGCGUAGAUAUCGUAAGGAAGACCAGUGGCGAAGGCGGGUCUCUGGACAGUUCCUGACACUGAGACACGAAGGCCAGGGGAGCAAACGGG